rnacentral:rRNA from 1 species
GAGGAAUAUUGGUCAAUGGGCGCAAGCCUGAACCAGCCAAUCCGCGUGCAGGAAGACGGCCCUAUGGGUUGUAAACUGCUUUUAUACGGGAAUAAGGAGACGUACGUGUUGCGUUUUUUGCAUGUACUGUAUGAAUAAGCAUCGGCUAACUCCGUGCCAGCAGCCGCGGUAAUACGGAGGAUGCAGGCGUUAUCCGGAUUUAUUAGGUUUAAAGGGUGCGUAGGCGGCUUGAUAAGUCAGGGGUGAAAUCUACCAGCUUAACUGGUAGUUUGCCUUUGAUACUGUUGAGCUAGAGUACGAACGAGGUAGGCGGAAUGUGCAGUGUAGCGGUGAAAUGCUUAGAUAUUGCACAGAACACCGAUUGCGGAGGCAGCUUACUAGGCCGUUACUGACGCUGAUGCACGAAAGCGUGGGGAUCAAAC